UUCUUACACGGCUUUGCCACACAGUACUCUCAAUCUCUGCAGCCCAAAGUCCAGCAAACUGAUCUCCAAAUUGCUCAGACUCCAAGGGAAGCAAAAGCAAAAACAUGUGAGCCAGUACGCACAAGUGAGUCUGGAUCUGCAUUUUCCUUUGAAGGGGUACUACCCAAACAAGCACGUCUUUAUUGUCUUCAGAGGAGCCCGUGGCUGCCACGUCCCGUUCUGCUUCUCCCACGUCAGGCAGCAGCGAGCAUCGCUACAAGCAGGCUGCAGCCACGGUGCAGCCUCCGGAACCGGGAGACUCUCCACAACCCCAGCCCAGCGCCGGGGAGGAGAGCCGGCAGGCAGCAGGACACCAGCGGCCUGGGCAGACGCCCCACGCGGGACUCCCGCUAUCGCGGGCACAGGGCCCACAGGAGCGCCGAAGGCAGAGCAGACCCUGCUCGGGCAAAAGCACCCGGGUCUCGUUUACGGGAGCCUGCGCCUACCGGUCCCGUGGGUCGGCACGGGGCUGGGCAGGCCGCGGCACCCUGCACAGGACCACGACGGGGCGGCCGGCUCGGACCGGCUCGGCCUGCGGCGGGCACAGAGCGUGGUCUGCCCCGAGGCCGGCCGGUGCGCGGGGGGCGCCCCCCCCCCCCCUUUCCCCUCCCCUCGGGCCGGCCCCUCCCGCCGCGCGGGCUCCCCGCUCACCUGGGCGCGGAGCUUUCGCCAUCUCGGGGCUGCCCGCUCCCGGCCAAGCCGUCGCCGGCCGCGUCAGCUGCUCGCCCGCGGGGCCCUCCCGGCGCGCCGGCACCCCGCGCCCUGCCGCUCCAUCUGCUCCCGGCGGAGGUCCCGCACCGCCCACCCGCCUGCGGCGCCGAGAGACGCGACCGGGAGGCGCCGCCGUGCCGUGCCGUGCCGUGCCGUGCCGCCCCGUCCCCCCCCGCGCAGCCCACCCGCCGCGGCGCAGCCGCCGCCGUUAAAGGCGCAGCGAGCGGCUCGGGCGUGACCGGGCGCCGAGCCGGGCCGGCAGCCCCGCUGAUGCGGUUGCUCGCCGGCGGCCGGGAGGGCGAUGGGCGAGGCCCGAGCAGAGGCGCGGCCGCGGGGCUCCCCAAGCCCGCCCGCCCGCCCACAGGGCCCGCCCAGCCGCAGCCCAGAGCGGCCGCCGCUCGGAGCAGAAGCACUCGGUGCCCGCGGCCGGCCCGUCCUGCGGCUCUCCGCCGCCGCCUUUCCUUGCCGCCCUGUCCCCGGCCGCCCGGAGUUACCUCCGGUCUGCAGCCCGCUGCGGAGCGCCCGGGGGCUGGCCGGCGGCACGGGCCUCGGUCGCUGCGGCAGCACCGGCCGCACAAACAACUCCUGCAGGAGGCUGGUCCGGAUUUAACGGCAAAAAGCCCUUGGGGACUGCCAAGCCGUGUCAGUGCAGUGGCCAAACUGCCGCAGGGCCUUUCAGGUCCGCGGUAG
rnacentral:lncRNA from 1 species